UUCUUUAAGAUGCUACCGUGGUCAAAACC
rnacentral:piRNA from 1 species